GCAUCUUCUAGGGUGGUAUAGGAUCUCCUGGGUUGAAAUCAGCUAAGGUGGGAAAUCCUCAGGUGAUCCUAAUAUUGCAGUACCUCUCGCUCCUACCAACCUCGUUACCCCAAACACACACACACACACCCCCAAAGACUUAAUUGGCAGGUGUGUCCUCUGGGUACCUAACCUAACCUAACCUAACCGGAGUCGUCCCUAAUGGCGCUGAAUUGGCUCCUCCUCUUCCAUGUCGUCGGCAAAUGAUCUCUCUGUCGCCUCAGCCAAUGUAACUUGACUACGGCACACACACACACAACAUCAUUCAAUGUUCAGUGUUUCUCGGCGUCUGUUCAAUACCCUCCCACAACACGGUGUUCAAUGUCUGUUCAAUGCUCAUACACAGAUGUUCAGUGUCUUCAAAUUUUUCCCAAGUGUCUGCUCAACACUUACACAGAGUCAUUUAAGUGUUUUACUGAUGUGUUCAGUGUCCAUCACACAUAGAGACCUGUGUAUCCUCAUCGUUAGUUCAAUGUUCAUUACGAAAAAUAUUCAGCGUCUGUUCAACGCUCACGAAUGACAGAUUCUGGACGAGCUUGUAUUCAGUGUGCCAAAUGUAGUUAUUAGGUCCUAAUGUUAAUGUUUAUUUCCUUAAUAAUUUAGUACAAGAAAAAAAAUCCCGACGCUGAUGGAAACUCUAAGACAUUCCCCCAUAGCUGUAGUCACCUGGACCGCCGAAGUGUCACCUGAGAAGACAACAAGCCGUCUAGGUAAUCGUAAAGUCAGUCAUUUAUGGAGAAAGUCACCUAGGCAGUCAGGUCACCUAGGCACCCAGAAAGUCACCUAGGCAGUCAGAAGGUCACUUGAGCAUCUAAAAGACUUCCCUGGACGGCUGCAAGAAUCCCUGGAAUGUUAUUUGGAAGAAAAGAAACAGCACUUUAGCCAGACAGCUCUCUCUCUCCGUUUAUCAUAAGUUGUAGCACCAAAUUACGAAUAUGAAUCAGUCAGCCAACGAAGAGGUAGAGAAGGCUUAUGUUGGCCUUAAGUGUACAGUGGACAAUGUUAAAGGGAGGACGGAACACACGACCCUACAGUAUUUGCUCGAGACGAUAGUGACGUGUUAUUUUAUUAUAUAGGAACAAUAAUAUACCCUUGAGUUGUAAUGAGGUUUUUGUCAAUAAACAGUACGAAAUAUA